rnacentral:rRNA from 1 species
AGCGCAGGCGGUUUGAUAAGUCUGAAGUAAAAGGCUGUGGCUUAACCAUAGUAUGCUUUGGAAACUGUCAAACUUGAGUGCAGAAGGGGAGAGUGGAAUUCCAUGUGUAGCGGUGAAAUGCGUAGAUAUAUGGAGGAACGCCGGUGGCGAAAGCGGCUCUCUGGUCUGUAACUGACGCUGAGGCUGAAAGCUGGGGAGCAAACA